AAUUCGAUGCCAAAUUCCUUUUGAUAGCUUCUAUGGACCCCAGGUUUGGACCCAGUACACAUAUACAUGUACUAGUGAUUUACCUUUCUGACUUUGUUAUAUACUAGUGAUUUACCUUGCUGACUAUGUUAUAUACUGGUGAUUUACCUUGCUGACUAUGUUAUAUACUGGUGAUUUACCUUGCUGACUACAUUAUAUACUGGUGAUUUACCUUGCUGACUAUGUUAUAUACUAGUGAUUUACCUUGCUGACUAUGUUAUAUACUGGUGAUUUACCUUGCUGACUAUGUUAUAUACUUGUAACUUACCUUGCUGACUACAUUAUAUACUGGUGAUUUACCUUGCUGACUAUGUUAUAUACUAGUGAUUUACCUUGCUGACUAUGUUAUAUACGGGUGAUUUACCUUGCUGACUAUGUUAUAUACUAGUGAUUUACCUUGCUGACUAUGUUAUAUACUGGUGAUUUACCUUGCUGACUAUGUUAUAUACUAGUGAUUUACCUUGCUGACUAUGUUAUAUACUGGUGAUUUACAUUGCUGACUAUGUUAUAUACUGGUGAUUUACCUUGCUGACUAUGUUAUAUACUAGUGAUUUACCUUGCUAACUAUGUUAUAUACUGGUGAUUUACCUUGCUGACUACGUUAUAUACUGGUGAUUUACCUUGCUGACUACGUUAUAUACUGGUGAUUUACAUUGCUGACUAUGUUAUAUACUAGUGAUUUACCUUGCUAACUAUGUUAUAUACUGGUGAUUUACCUUGCUGACUACGUUAUAUACUGGUGAUUUACCUUGCUGACUACGUUAUAUACUUGUGAUUUACCUUGCUGACUAUGUUAUAUACUAGUGAUUUACCUUGCUGACUAUAUUCACGAUGUCUUUUGAUCGCUGUAUCACUUGUCUGUCCUGCCUCAUGUAUCUCUCAUACUAAAACACAAUGAAACAUCUCCAGACAAAGCUAACAAUGAAAUAAUGAAUACAUGUUGCUACAGCAAAACUGUAGAAAUGUUCAUUUCAUAUAGCAGCCAUCUUCAAAUUGCUGAUUUAAUUCAUAAACUUGAGCAAUAUUUGGAAAUUGUUUAAUAUGAAUUAAUUCAU
rnacentral:sRNA from 1 species